GGAGGAAAAGAAACUAACAAGGAUUCCCCUAGUAACUGCGAGUGAAGCGGGAAGAGCUCAAAUUUUGAAUCUGGCGGUCUUCGGCCCGUCCGAGUUGUAAUCUAGAGAAGCGUCUUCCGCGCUGGACCGUGUACAAGUCUCCUGGAAGGGAGCGUCGUAGAGGGUGAGAAUCCCGUCUUUGACACGGACUACCAGUGCUAUGUGAUGCGCUCUCGACGAGUCGAGUUGUUUGGGAAUGCAGCUCAAAACGGGUGGUAAAUUCCAUCUAAAGCUAAAUACAGGCGAGAGACCGAUAGCGAACAAGUACCGUGAGGGAAAGAUGAAAAGAACUUUGGAAAGAGAGUUAAACAGUACGUGAAAUUGCUGAAAGGGAAACGCUUGAUGUCAGUCGCGUCGUCCGGGGAUCAACCUUGCUUCUCGCUGGGUGUACUUCCCGGUCGACGGGUCAGCAUCAGUUUUGGUCGUCGUACAAGGGCGAGGGGAACGUGGCACUCUUUGGAGUGUGUUAUAGCCUUUCGUCGUAUGCGGCGGUCGGGACUGAGGAACUCAGCACGACUUCCGUUUGUGCUUAGGAUGCUGGCAUAAUGGCCUUAAGCGACCCGUCUUGAACACGGACCAAGGAGUCUAACAUGCCUGCGAGUGUUUGGGUGGCAAACCCGAGCGCGUAAUGAAAGUGAAAGUUGAGACCUCUGUCGUGGA
rnacentral:rRNA from 1 species